CCUACGGGAGGCAGCAGUAGGGAAUAUUGCACAAUGGGGGAAACCCUGAUGCAGCGACGCCGCGUGAAGGAUGAAGUUUUUCGGAUUGUAAAGCCCUUUCAGUAGGGAAGAAAAUGACGGUAUCUGACCAAGAAGCACCGGCUAACUACGUGCCAGCAGCCGCGGUAAUACGUAGGGGGCAAGCGUUACUCGGAUUUACUGGGCGUAAAGGGAGCGUAGGCGGGAGGGCAAGUCAGAUGUGAAAUCCGGUGGCUUAACCAUCGGACUGCAGUUGAAACUGUCAUGCUGGAGUAUGGGAGAGGUAGGUGGAAUUCCUGGUGUAGGGGUAAAAUCCGUAGAUAUCAAGAGGAAUACUAAUGGCGAAGGCGACCUGCUGGAACGUAACUGACGUUGAGGCGCGAAAGCGUGGGGAGCAAACAGGAUUAGAUACCCGUGUAGUC
rnacentral:rRNA from 1 species